rnacentral:misc_RNA from 1 species
AUGACCGACGGAUCGAUGGACAUCGACGCGAUGCUCGAGGGAGGCCUUGAGAUGGCGAAAAACGACAGAUCACAAAGUCGUCAAAGAUCGCCGGCAAGAUCGAAUCGUUCGAGACCGUCGAGAGUCCCCAUUCAAUCAGAUGUCGACUGAAAUUCGCCGAAAAUCGCCGAAAAACUUGGAUCCCGAUCAAAAGACAGGAAAAGCUCGUCACGCCGUUCCAGAAGCCGUAGCCGUGAUCGACGAGGUGAUCGAGGUGAUCGUCGACGAUCGAGGAGCCGGAGCAAGGAUCGUCGCACCACUCGGAGACGCUCACCGAGCCGUGAGCGAAGACGAAGCCGUAGCAGAGAUCGUGGAGCACCGAGAAGACGCUCGAGAACCCGAUCUCGUGACCGUCGACGCUCUCCACCACGUCGUCGUGAUCGCCGGACUCCGCCGAGACGUUCACCAGGAAGAAGAAGCCCGCCACGAAGCCGUCUUCCAGGACCCGAACGCCGUGACGUCAUGCCAUUCAAUCCACGUCACUCGCCGCCUAAAAACGCGAAACUGGAAUUAACAGCAGAAGAAAGAGAUCAACGGACCCUUCUAAUCAUGCAAAUUGCCCGUGACACCCGUCCACGUGACCUCGAAGAAUUCUUUUCAGCCGUCGGAGCUGUUCGUGACGUCAGAAUUAUAACCGAUUCGCGGACUGGUAGAUCAAAAGGAAUUUGCUAUGUGGAAUUUUGGGAUGAAGAAUCGGUUCCACUUGGAUUGGCACUAAAUGGACAACGUUUAAUGGGCGCUCCAUUGCAAAUUCAGAGAACUUGCGCUGAACGAAACCGCGCCGCGAAUAGUUCGGUGGCGUCUACGUUGGGAUUUGUUGCACCCGGGAAUAAGGGUCCUACGCAUGUUUUGGUGGAGAAUUUGCACCCGAAAAUCGAUGAAAAAAUGAUUAGAGACAUUUUUGAGUCGUUUGGACGAAUUGAGAAGAUUGAUUUGGAGGUUGAUAGUAAUCGAGAGAAUCGAGGAUUCGCUACGAUUACGUUCCGAAACGCCGACGACGCCCAAAAAUCUUGCGAGCAACUGAACAAUUUCGAGCUCGCCGGCCGAUGCAUCCGUCUCUCCAUCAAACAAGAAUCCCAAGCUCCAGCAGUAAAGAAAGAAGAAGCUUCAAUUCAUCAGAGAUCCCUAGACGAUGUAGGCGAUCGUCAAGGCUUCUCCCUAGGCGCAGGCGGCCGACAACAGCUCAUGGCAAAGUUGGCUCAAGGCACCGGCUCAGGAAUGGAGCUAACAGCGUCGGCUCAGAUGGCUGCUCAACACGCUGGACACUCACAAAUUCCAUCAAUUGCUACACAGUGUUUCCUUUUAUCAAAUAUGUUUGAUCCGUCGAAAGAGACUGAACCAGCAUGGGAUCAUGAUAUUCGAGAAGAUGUGAUUGAGCAGUGUCUGGCUCACGGUGGAGCACUUCAUGUAUUUGUGGAUAAAGGCUCAGAGCAAGGAAAUGUCUAUGUAAAGUGUCCAUCGAUUGUGAUUGCACAUCAGGCAGUUAGUGCGCUCCACGGAAGAUGGUUCAGUGGAAAAGUUAUCACUGCUAACUAUGUACCUGUUAAUUCAUAUCAUGACUUGUUCCCGGAUGCAGUACAUGCUAGAAUUGUGCUCACGACGCGUGGAGCUGCUCCGGUGGUUCCUAUUGUACCUAUGGUUCCAGUUGUGCCACCUCAAGGAAUCGCAAAUGGUUACGGAGCAUAUGGAAUGAUGGCUCCGGCUCACGGAGCACCACCGCCACCACCACCACAACAACAAGGACAAUAUGGUGGAUAUGGCAGAUAUUAG